CAAUAGCGUAUAUUAAAGUUGUUGCAGUUAAAAAGCUCGUAGUUGGAUUUCUGGUGGGAGCGAUCGGUCUGGCGCUUAGCGCGAGUACUUGCAUCGUCUCCGGCCAUCCUUGGGGAGAGUCUGUCUGGCAUUAAGUUGUCGGGCAGAGGAUCCACAUCGUUUACUGUGAAAAAAUUAGAGUGUUCAAAGCAGGCUUAUGCCGUUGAAUAUAUUAGCAUGGAAUAAUAAGAUAGGACUUUGGUACUAUUUUGUUGGUUUGCGCACCAAAGUAAUGAUUAAUAGGGACAGUUGGGGGUAUUCGUAUUCCGUUGUCAGAGGUGAAAUUCUUGGAUUUACGGAAGACGAACUACUGCGAAAGCAUUUACCAAGGAUGUUUUCAUUAA
rnacentral:rRNA from 1 species